CCGGACCGGCGCACGGGUGAGUAACGCGUAUGCAACUUACCUAUCAGAGGGGAUAACCCGGCGAAAGUCGGACUAAUACCGCAUGAAGCAGGGCCCGCAUGGGGAUAUUUGCUAAAGAUUCAUCGCUGAUAGAUAGGCAUGCGUUCCAUUAGGCAGUUGGCGGGGUAACGGCCCACCAAACCGACGAUGGAUAGGGGUUCUGAGAGGAAGGUCCCCCACAUUGGUACUGAGACACGGACCAA
rnacentral:rRNA from 1 species